UACGAGGGGGGCGAGCGUUGUCCGGAAUUAUUGGGCGUAAAGGGUGCGUAGGCGGUUCGGUAAGUUUCGUGUGAAAUCUUCGGGCUCAACUCGAAGUCUGCACGAGAUACUGCCGGGCUUGAGUGUGGGAGAGGUGAGUGGAAUUUCCGGUGUAGCGGUGAAAUGCGUAGAUAUCGGAAGGAACACCUGUGGCGAAAGCGGCUCACUGGACCAUAACUGACGCUGAGGCACGAAAGCAUGGGGAGCGAACAGG
rnacentral:rRNA from 1 species